GGCAGUGUUGUUAAAAGUGGGUGCUGAGAAAAGCAAACACUUUGGGUAAAAACAGGCAAUGAGCUAGUGGAGAGCUGGAUACAGGAGGGAGCCUGGCUUUUGGGGGAUCUGGACUUGUUUGAAAGGAGUGGUUCCACAAACCAGCUGAUCGCCACCUGGGCUUCCACCCAUCGGGUUAGAAGAAGCUUUCUUGCCUUUCCAUCCAUUUUCGUGCAGUAGAUGCCAGUUGGAGAACAAGACUGUGACAUCAGCUCUUGCAAAGAGCUUACCAAUCUACUUCCAGCUUGCUGGUUUUGAUGCGUAUGGGCUUCUCAGACACUCAGGAACAUCCCUACUCUGUACCUGACCAAGACUUCAGCAAGAAGGGACCAGUGCAGCGAGAGUCUCUUCCAGGUUUUACCCUGUGCCCACCUCUUGCUGGGGGAAGAUUGUGGUGACUGAGAGUGCAAUUCACUCCCAGGCAUGAGACAUUAAGCUCGGAGUUGUGGAACCCACUGUGAAGUGAGGGCCUUUGGAAGGUGGUUAGAAAGGAGGUUGGAAAGAGAGGGGAUCCUCGGAUCCAGAAGGUGAUGCAAUGAGAGACCCAGUGAUGAUGAUGAUUCCCAGCCUUUGGGAUCAACAGAUUAGGCCAAGUUCCUGGCAUUGAAUCCAGCUGAACUGGCCUUCCUUUUUUCCUGCUGGUAUGUGGCCUAUGUGCCCUGCACCCUGAAGCCCCCUGGGGAACCAUCCUGAGGGUCCAAUCCAGCAAGAUGUUUAAUUCUUCACAGCAGAUAGCAUUUGCAUCCUUGGAUGUGCCCUGCAGUCUGAUCCCUCUGGAGAUCCUCAUCUCACCUGCCAAGAGACGGCCUGAAAAAGGACCUUUCCCUCAUCAGAUUACGAGCUUCUUGGUCAGAAGAGUUUACCUGGACAUGCCUAGAUAAAGGCAACUGCUGACAUUUACAGAUACCUGCCUUGCAAAGCUCAGCACGCCGGCUCUGCCUCUCUCAGCACAUUGCCUGCAGGAAGCUCUUUGAGGAGCGGCUGCAUGGAAGGAGCCGAAGGAAAACAGAGGAACGCAGUGACCAGGUCAGAAGCAUGACUGUCUGCAUUAUGGGAGUCCAGUGAGAUCUGGUUGUACGCCCUGUUCAGGUACCCUCACUGCCUGCCUCAACAGCUUACU